AAUGAACGCUGGCGGCAUGCCUAACACAUGCAAGUCGAACGAAAGCACGGGAAGCUUUCUCUUCUGAUUUUGGCGGCGGACGGAUGCGUCCCACGUGGAUGACCUACCUAUCCGACUGGGAUGACAUCGGGGGAUCGGAUCUUCUACCCGAUAAUAUUUUGAACCGCAUGGUUCACGCGUUAGAGUAGGUCUUUCUGUCACUAAUAGCUUACUACGCGCUGCAUGAGCUAGUUGGUAAGGUAGCGGCUUACCAAGGCUACGAUGCAUAGCCGACCUAAGCGGGUGAUCGGCCACACUGGAACUGAGAAACGGUACAGACUCCGACGGUAGGCAGCAGUAGGGAAUCUUCCGCAAUGGGCGAAUGCCUGAUGUAGCAACACCGCGUGAGUGAUGAAGGUCUUCUGAUCGUAAAACUCUGUUAGUAGGGAAGAAGAUAAGUGUAAGUAACUGUGCACAUAAUGACGGUACCUAAACAGUAAGCCACGGCUAACUACGUG
rnacentral:rRNA from 1 species